ACGGGGUGCAGCAGGCGCGAAAACUCUACAAUGCAGGCAACUGCGAUAGGGGGACAUCGAGUGGCAUCCACCUUGGGUGCCUAUCCAACCGUCUAAAAAACGGUUGUUAGCAAGGGCCGGGUAAGACCGGUGCCAGCCGCCGCGGUAAUACCGGCGGCUCGAGUGGUGGCCGAUAUUAUUGAGUCUAAAGGGUCCGUAGCCGGCUUUGCAAGUCCCCUGGGAAAUCCAGCGGCUUAACCGUUGGGCUUUCAUGGGAUACUACAUUGCUUGGGACUGGGAGAGGUAGGAGGUACUCGGGGGGUAGGGGUGAAAUCCUGUAAUCCUCCGGGGACCACCGGUGGCGAAGGCGUCCUACCAGAACAGGUCCGACGGUGAGGGACGAAAGCUAGGGGCACGAACCGGAUUAGAUACCCGGGUAGUCCCAGCUGUAAACGAUGCAGACUAGGUGUUUGGACGGCCACGUGCCGUUCUAGUGCCGCAGGGAAGCUGUUAAGUCUGCCGCCUGGGGAGUACGACCGCAAGAUUGAAACUUAAAGGAAUUGGCGGGGGAGC
rnacentral:rRNA from 1 species